GUUAGUACCCUAACCGACGAAAGGAGGGGCGACUACCACGGUGAGAUUCAUGACUGGGGUG
rnacentral:rRNA from 1 species